UGAACAGUUUGGUGGAGAACAGUCGAG
rnacentral:sRNA from 1 species